rnacentral:scRNA from 1 species
GGGGGAACUCGCUAACGGGUACGGAUCUGCCACCCUCGACGACCCGCGCGCUGGACUUGAGUUCCCCC